rnacentral:lncRNA from 1 species
AGAUACAUACUAAGUUGAAAUUUCAAGAAAAUGAUUUUGAAAUUUCAACUUAUUAUCUUGAAAUUUCAACUUAUGUAUCUUGAAAUUUCAAGACAAAAACAAAAAAACAAAUGGCCCCCAAAGGCUUCCGUAAUUUUGAGUUAAUGUUUUAGAAAAACUGCCAACAUUUAUUUUUCAUCAUAGAUAGAUGUUUUUAUGUUACUAGAUUACUACUAAGUGAAGAAGAAGACAAUUAGUGUCUUUUCCGACAGUUAUACAGAUGAUGAUAUUCUUGAAGACAUGGAAUAGUCAGGUGACUCAGGUACAUGGAGAUCAGAAGCCUUGGAACAAACUGGGGGGGGGGGGGGAUAUCAGCUUAUGUUCUGUUAGACAUUUAUUCAAAAUGCUGUAUUGCCAUUGUAACUGACAGACACUAACAAACUAUCUCUUGCAAUCAUUACAUAUCUUAGGUUAUUCAAGUUUUCAGUUGUUUUUGAGUUUACAGAACAAAGUUAUGAGUAAAUCAAAGUUUUUGUCUGAGAUGAAAAAUGAUUUAUUCAGUUCUAUCAAAACAAGUAACAGAACAAAUUGUUUCUUUUUUUUUGUGUAUGUGUGACAUAAGUGAUAAUUAUGUUCACUGUUGAUCUCACCCAAACCAUACGGGACCCAGUCGUCUGAGGUGCCAAAUGUGCUGCCUAGAGUUGCCUCCCUUAGUUGCCAGGAUGCUAUGAUUGUGGGUUUGAAUCCAAGAUUCACCUUAAGUAAUAUUCUUGGGACAAUACCCAUGCUCAUGGGUUUCGCCAAAGCAGUUUCUGAUUCAUUUUAAGAUUCCCUCCCGCAUUAAACUGACACACUGUGAUAUAAGUCCUAUUCUGUUCGAAGCAGCAAUAAACACUACUGAAAGCACUUUGUGUUAGGCUGACACGAAUGAGUUCAUGGUCACCGUGUACAUUUCUUGAUAGUAUCUCUUGUUAGGGAAUAAAUUGGAAGCAGACAAUUACAAAUUGUGAUGAACGUUUUUGAACACUUUAGGCUUAAACAAAUAAAAGAAUUGUUUCUCAGGCAGUGACUGUUGAAAAUAUAGUGUGGGCAGCCAUCAUGGUUUUUUUUGGGUUUUUUUAGGGGGGGGUUCAAACUGGUACAUAACCAAAUAAAAAGUUGUGUAACCAAAUAAACAAAUGUGUACAAUCAACCUGGGAAAGGGCCUCCCUGCAUAAAUAUAUUCCUUGAUGAGUAAAAAACUGGAAUGCAGUAUUUGGCUACCAUUGGACUUGGAAUAUGCAAGGAUUUUUAUUGUUUUUUAAAAAUGGAUAUAAAACGAAACGUGUGGCAAACUUUAUGAGGAUGAGGGUGGGCGGGGUCUUGUUAAAGACUUAAAGUAAAUACCUAAAAAUUGCGACAAAAUAUUGAGAUAAAUAUUCCUAUAUUUCUUUACCAGUCCCGGGGCGGUCGGGUAGCCUAGUGGUUAAAGCGUUUGCUCGUCACGCCGAAGACCCAGGUUCGAUUCCCGACAUGGGUAAAAUGUGUGAAGCCCAUUUCUGUUGUCCCCCGCCGUGAUGUUGCUGGAAUAUUGCUAAAAGCGGCGUAAAACCAUACUCACUCACUCACUUUACCAGUUCCUGUCCACUGUUGUUUUCACAGAUAUUUAUGAAUGAAAAUAUGUUUUUGGGGUAAUUCUGUUAUUACUGUGUGAUUGUGUGAUACAAUUCAGAAAAAAGCUGUUCAUAUGAAUCAAUGGUAAUAAGCUGCUUCCUAAAUUAUUGUAGACCCUGCAUUUAUACUUGUCACCUUGUCUGUUAUUUAUGAUAUCGCCAUGGAAACAUCAAUAUGUCGCCACUAAAAAUACAUGUUAGGUCUGAAAAGUACACUAUUCAAAUACUUUGAAUGAAAACAAGCGCUAAUGAUAAAUAAAUUCCCUUCCUUUCAUAAAGUCUGCAGAGGAUGUGGAAUCUGGGUCAGGGCAAAUGGGUCAGUGUUCUGUUGUUAAAGUAAACUGAAGGAAGAUCGAUUGACAAUACUUGCACAUGUCACUUUGAUCCUGUUCUACAUAACUUUUGUGCUGUGUAGGCAAAAUAGAGGUAAAAGACUAUUUGGUAUAUUGGUCUUUCACUGUUGAGUGGAGCAUGCUCUAUUUCCACAACAAAUAAACUACAAUUACCUGUAAAUAAAUAAAUAAAUAAAUAAAUAAAUAAAUAAAUUAAUAAAUUAAUAAAUAAAUAAAUAAAUUUGAAUUAAAUUAAAAUUAAUUAAAUUAAAUGUAAGUGAUACCUUGGCACUUGAUGGGCUAGCCAAGCAACUGUUUGUGUGUUUGUGUGUUUGUGUGUUCAUGUUUCCAUAAACCUAAAAAUGAAUUAAGCCACAUCCACUGGCUGACUUCUGUUUCCUUAUUGGCUGAUAAUAGUGGGCUUGUUUUGAAAGAUGUCACUGGUUUCGUAUUGUUGUCUACUGUGGUUUUGUGUUAAUGACUAAAAAGCAGUCUGUGAAGUUAUUAUUGUUGAUUUUUUAAGGGCUACGCGGAUUUACACAGUGUGCAUGUCAAUAUUUAUAUAUAAACGCAAAGUAUAUUGAAGUCAACUCUGAAAUAUUUACAGUUAUUAUCCUAGCCCUUUGUUAAUAGGAGAGCUUUAUGAUAACUAACAUUACCACAAAGUGUGUUUCCUUGGUUUAAGAUACUGUUCAUCUCCAUGUAUUUGUUUCUCCAACGGGUUACCAAACUUGCAACAAAAGUGACAAAAACUUCAAAUUCCAACCGAAAUUAUGUGUAUGAGAAAAGACCACAUUUUCUAAACUUCUCUAACCAUUUAUAUACUCCAUACCAAGUAAAUUAAAACCAUGAAAAAUAACGUAUUCCCAAAUUGUAUGAAAGGACAUGCUUUUGACUAUAAAAGAUACGUUAAAAUAAAAAAAGAAAUAUUUUAGAUAAAAUGUAAUUAAGUAAGAAGAUGUUGAAAUGUGUAGUGUAGUUGUUAAAAAGUGCAAAAGCAUUUAGUAUAGUAUAGUUGUUUUCCUCAGCAUUUAAAGUAUAUUGUCCAGUAUGCCAGCAUUUAUUAUGUACAGUAUUAUUAUUAUUAUUACAUGUGUAUACAGGCAUUUUGGUCCCAUUUCACAGGUUCUCAAGAGAAUGUCAUUUAAAUCUUUUCACACUCUCCUUUUUGUUGGUUGAUAUUAGCUAACUGAUCUCAAGACCUGGCGGAAAUGUCAUUGAAGUCAGCUGGGGAUGCUGAAUGCAGUUGUUUUGGUCUGUUGUUGUUAAUCAGGUUGUUGAUGCUGAGAAUGUACUAUUCUCCUUGAUACUUGUAUUCUCUAUACAUUUUCUAAUGAAUAUAUGUGCUCCAUUACACAGACAUUUGACAAAGUUUGUAUUGAAAUAAAUCAUCAACUAUUUUGUCAAGAUUAGUUCUUUUCCUGGGGAUGGGUGUAUGCAUCCUUUGUGGUUGGUGUCACAAGAACCUCAAUACCACUUUUGCUCCUAACGUUUGGUAAAUGGUGAUAUAUGUCAUCAUUCAAUUCAUAGAAUGAUACUUAUCUUGAGGAAAACGUUUAAUGAUAUUUAUUUUGAGGUACAUAAUGCUACUUAUAUUGAAGUAUAUGUAUAAUGAUACUUGCCUUAAGGUAUACGUAUAAUGCUACUUAUGUUGAAGUAUACAUAUGAUACUUGUCUUGAGGUAUCUGUUUAAUGCUACAUAUAUUGAGGUAUAUGUUUAAUGCUACUUAUAUUGAAGUAUACGUAUAAUGAUACUUAUCUUGAGGUAUCUGUUUAAUGCUACAUAUAUUGAGGUAUAGGUAUCUGUAUAAUCCUACAUAUAUUGAGGUAUAGGUAUAAUGAUACUUAUAUUGAAGUAUACGUAUAAUGAUACUUAUCUUGAGGUAUCUGUAUAAUGCUACAUAUAAUGAGGUAUAGGUAUCUGUAUAAUCCUACAUAUAUUGAGGUAUAGGUAUAAUGAUACUUAUAUUGAAGUAUACGUAUAAUGAUACUUAUCUUGAGGUAUCUGUAUAAUGCUACAUAUAAUGAGGUAUAGGUAUCUGUAUAAUCCUACAUAUAUUGAGGUAUAUGUUUAAUGCUACUUAUAUUGAAGUAUACGUAUAAUGAUACUUAUCUUGAGGUAUCUGUUUAAUUCUACAUAUAUUGAGGUAUAGGUAUCUGUAUAAUCCUACAUAUAUUGAGGUAUAUGUAUAAUGCUACUUAUAUUGAAGUAUACGUAUAAUGAUACUUAUCUUGAGGUAUCUGUAUAAUGCUACAUAUAAUGAGGUAUAGGUAUCUGUAUAAUCCUACAUAUAUUGAGGUAUAGGUAUAAUGAUACUUAUCUUGAGGUAUAUGUAUAAUGAUACUAAUCUUGAGGCAUACGUAUGAUGGUACUUAUCUCAGGACACAAAAAGGAUGUCCAUGACACUUAUCUCAUAUACAGAAAAGGAUACCUAUUUCAUAUACAAAUAAUGAUUCUGUUCUCAUGCUAGGAAACAUCAUGAUACUUAUCUCAUAUGCAUAUAACUCUUAUCGUUAUAUAUGUAUGGUACUUACUUCAAGGAUAUGUCUCAGGAGAAGGUAAACUAUAUAUACAAUGAUGCUAAUGUAAAUAAGGAUGAUUCACAUGAGGAGAUAUACACAUGACGAUAGUUAUCUCUUGAUGUAUAUGUAUAAAUAUAUCAUAAUGUAUAUCUCUUGGUAUGUAAAAAGAAAUGCUUAUGUUUAAAUGAAAGUGACCAAACCCUUUCCAUAAUCAGAAAUCUCUGCUAAAAGCAGAGUUCAUUUUACGGUUCUGACUACAGUCAAGUCUCGUUAAUCCGACACUCAUUAAUCCGACAAUCGGAUUAAAUCAGUUCUAUUUAGACCCGUUAAUCCGACUAAUCACUCAUUAAUCAGUCUCGUUAUCUGACACAGUGAUCAGCGUACUCCGUGGUCAUCGUGAUGCGAGACGAGACGGCGAGUAGCUGGAUAUUUCAACAGCUUCAGAGAUAAACUUGCUUAACAAUACACAAUUACUGCUUUAAAUAAACAGAACAGGAUUUGAAUCAUUAUGUAUCGUAUAGUUAUCCAAUUUUCGAUCACGAAUGUUGAUACAACCUAAUUUCGUUUAUACGACAUACUCGUAAAUCUGACAUAAUCAUAUGCAACCAGCAAUGUCGGAUUAACGGGACUUGACUGUAUAUCAUAAGUUUGAUUCGCUAUCAGAUGGUGAUGAUACCAGGUGUUUGCGAAAAGGUGUGCGCAUCCUGCCCCACAGUCGUGAGAAGAUCUUGUAUGUCUCUAUUUCCUGUGUUGAGUUUUUCUCAAAUGUCUGAUGUUCACUAGUACUGUAAACCUGCACUUUCUUAGUUACUGUGAGAGUUGUACAUGAAUGCAUGUACUUCUGUAUGUCAAUACAUGCAUCACUAUGAAUGCAUGUGCUGCAUAUGAAUGCAUGUGCUUCUGUGUAUGAAUGCAUGCACCACUGUAAAUGAUUCCAGUGGUGUGAAUGAAUGCUUGCACUUCUGUGUAUGAAUGCAUGGACCACUGUGCAGGACUUAUGUAUAGGAAUGAAUGCUUGCACCACUGUGCAUGCUUGCACUUCUGUGUAUGAAUGCAUGGACCACUGUGCAGGACUUAUGUAUAGGAAUGAAUGCUUGCACUUCUGUGUAUGAAUGCCUGAACCACUGUGCAUGCUUGCACUUCUGUGUCUGUGUAUAUAUGCAUGGACCACUGUGCUGGACUUAUGUAUAGGAAUGAAUGCUUGCACUUCUGUGCAUGAAUGCAUGGACCACUGUGCAGGACUUAUGUAUAGGAAUGAAUGCUUGCACUUCUGUGUAUGAAUGCAUGGACCACUGUGCAGGACUUAUGUAUAGGAAUGAAUGCUUGCACUUCUGUGUAUGAAUGCCUGAACCACUGUGCAUGCUUGCACUUCUGUGUAUAUAUGCAUGGACCACUGUGCUGGACUUAUGUAUAGGAAUGAAUGCUUGCACUUCUGUGCAUGAAUGCAUGGACCACUGUGUUGGACUUCUGUAUAGGAAUGAAUGCCUGAACCACUGUGCAUGCUUGCACUGCUGUGUAUAUAUGCAUGGACCACUGUGCUGGACUUCUGUAUAGGAAUGAAUGCCUGAACCACUGUGCAUGCUUGCACUGCUGUGUAUAUAUGCAUGGACCACUGUGCUGGACUUAUGUAUAGGAAUGAAUGCUUGCACCAUGAUGAAUGCUUGCACUGCUGUAAAUGAACGCUUGCAGUUCUGUAUAGGAAUGAACGCUUGCACCACGAUGAAUGCUUGCACUGCUGUAAAUGAAUGCUUGCAUUCCUGUGUAUGAAUACAUGUGCUUCUGUGGGUGGAUGCAUGCAUGGCUGUGUGUUGUAGUGAGCAGUUUUAUGGAUAAUAGUACUGAAAUGCUGACGGAAUGUGCAUGUAACAACUAGCUCUUGACUACACAAUACAUUACUACAAUCAUUCUCAAUACAACAAACUUUUGAUUUUUAGUAAUACUAAGCAAACCAUUUGUAGCAUAAAUUUUAUGUAGCUGUAUGUAGGAUAUGUGCUUGUGUCUGUAGAGUUUGUAUUUUGCCAUGCUGAACGUAUGUAUGUGUUCUGUACCAGGCUGUACCAGAUGUACAAUUCUUUGUACCAUGCUAAAUGAAGCCUUUGAGCAAUUCCUUGUAGCAUGCUAAAUGAAACCUUUGAGCAAUUCCUUGUUCCAUGCUAAAUGAAAUCUUUGAGCACGAGUGGCCCAGUCAUGUGAGGCAUGACAAUUUACUGUGCAGAGUUGCAUCCCUUGGGCACCCCAGAAACCUAUGAUUGUAGGUUCAAAUCCCUGUAUGCCCCUAUUGUGUUACCAGGUUUGUCAGCACCAUACCGUGCUCGUGGGUUUCACCGAAGUGGUAAACAUCUGAGACCUGCAUCACUUCGGGCUUUCCUCCCACAUUAAGCUGACACGCCAUGAUAUAACUGGACUUCUGUUUAACGGCAUUAAACUCACUUGCUCACCAUAUGAAACCUUCAAUGUACAGUUAUGUAUCAUGCUGUAUGAGAUUUUCAGUUUCUUGAUUUAUGCUGUAGUGAAUGUUUCCAUUUAUGUUUAUCAGAUUCUUUGUGAUAUAUGUGUAUGUACCAUCCUGUAUGAGGUGUAUAAUUUCUUAUCUCAUGCUGUAUCAAACUAUUUUAAUGUACCAAGUUGUAUGCGAUGUACCUUUUUGUGUCUCAUGUUGAAUGAAAUGUAGCAUUUCUUAUCUCAUGUUGUAUGAGAUAUACCAUCUUAUGUACAGUGCUGUAGGAAACAUUUUGUACUGUAGGAAAUUUCUUCAAUCAAGCUGUAUGACAUGGAUCAUUUUAUGAACCAUUCUGUAUAAAAUAUGGCAUUUUUUGUCUCAGUGUAUGAAAUGUAAAUUGAUAUACUGUUUUAUAGCUGUGUCAGAUGUAGAUGUACAUAAUACAACAUCAUGGGGUACCCACAGUGCCUACAUAAUAAACAUUAUCAUGUCA